rnacentral:rRNA from 1 species
UGGGGAAUUUUGGACAAUGGGCGAAAGCCUGACACAGCAACGCCGCGUGAAGGAUGAAGUCCCUCGGGAUGUAAACUUCGUAAGAAUAGGAAGAAUAAAUGACGGUACUAUUUGUAAGGUCCGGCUAACUACGUGCCAGCAGCCGCGGUAAUACGUAGGGACCAAGCGUUGUUCGGAUUUACUGGGCGUAAAGGGUGCGUAGGCGGCAUAUCAAGUCACUUGUGAAAUCUCCGGGCUUAACUCGGAACUGCCAAGUGAUACUGAUGUGCUAGAGUGCAGAAAGGGCAACUGGAAUUCUUGGUGUAGCGGUGAAAUGCGUAGAUAUCAAGAGGAACACCUGAGGCGAAGGCGAGUUGCUAGGCUGACACUGACGCUGAGGUACGAAAGCUAGGGGAGCGAACGGGAUUAGAU